UCGUAACAAGGUUUCCGUAGGUGAACCUGCGGAAGGAUCAUUAUUGAAAUUAUAGGUGAGGGUUGUAGCUGGCCUCUCGGGGCAUGUGCACGCCCGAGCCCUUAAAUCCCACACACACCUGUGAACCUAUUGUAAGGGCCCGUAAAAAAGGCCUUUACGUCUUUAUCACCUACCCGAAGUCUCAUAGAAUGUAAAUGUUAUGUCCUCGCCUUAAAAAAGCGUUGAUAAAAAAAAUUAUACAACUUUCAACAACGGAUCUCUUGGCUCUCGCAUCGAUGAAGAACGCAGCGAAAUGCGAUAAGUAAUGUGAAUUGCAGAUUUUCAGUGAAUCAUCGAAUCUUUGAACGCACCUUGCGCUCCUUGGUAUUCCGAGGAGCAUGCCUGUUUGAGUGUCAUUAAAUUCUCAAACUCUGAUUGAUUUGUUUCAAUCGGAGGUUUGGAUUUGGAGUGUGCCGGCGUCAAGUCGGCUCCUCUUGAAUGCAUCAGCGGAAUCCCAUUCAUUUCGGACGUCAGUGUGAUAAUCAUGUUGCGCUGUCUUUGCGAUCUUGAAAGCCCG
rnacentral:rRNA from 1 species